rnacentral:misc_RNA from 1 species
AAAGAACAGAAAAAGAGAAGGGACUUUUGAGGGCACUUUUACUUUAAUAAGCAUGAUAUAAAUUUUUGUAAACCAAUAGUGCAUGUUACAAAUAAAAAUAAAGGCCCUCCUAAAAUAAGGGUUUGAAGCUGGUAAUGUCUAGAAUUGGGUCACGCGUAAGGGUGUAUAUGGUUCCUAGGAGUCCUGAAUUGAAUUGAAAAAAUGUAUUAAAUCUAAAUAGCAAAGAACUAUUACUGUAAGAACCAAACCGAACUUAUUUUACCAUUUUGGUUUGAUUUUAGUUUUUCAUCAAGAGCCGAACUAAAAUCGUACUGAAUUAAAAAUUAAUUUUAUACACAUGUUUUAAAUAUAUAUUAUAUAAUUUCAAUCAAAUAUGCAAUUAAGGUCGUAAUGUGUGUAUGCGUAUAUUUAACCUAAUUUGUCUUUAAUUAUAAGUGUUUAUACAUUGCUUAAUAUUGUCUUUUAUUCCUCAUGUUU